CCCGAAGUGAGGAGUGGAACACUUCUCUCCUCUCUUGCAGCUGUGAAGCUGCAAUCAGAGGGAUUAAACCCCCCCUACCCAUUAACACUGCUUUCCCAGCUCAAGCUGCCCAUCUCUUGGACAUCUCCCUUUUUUUUUCUCAUGGUGUUCCCCACUGUAACUUCAAGGACAACUGCCCAAGGACAGACAUUUUUAGAAGCACAAUCGCUCCCUAUGAAGUUGGUGGACUCGCACUGUAGGACUCACUCCUGCCCUUGUCUGCAGGACUUUUCUGCUGGAUUCGGUAAACAGAUUUAUCUUAGAAGAGAAAACAUCAUAAUGAUGUUGGGUUAUACUCAUCGCCUUCCUUCAGAGACAGAAAGGCUGAACACUGAAAUUGGUGUGAUUUAACCUUUUACAGAAUUCAGCUGAUUUUCAUACCUGUGCAGCACGUAUGUCCUAAAUUAUUGGGAAAGAUUAGGAAAGCCUGAAAACAAUUGUGGAGCCUUUGAGCUGAUGAUACCCUCCAACCCCCAGCUCUUCAUGAACAUCCCCAUUUAAAAUGGAACAUUUUCUAACUGGCGAGUUAGAAUGAAAGUGGUUUCUGGAGACCACCACGUAGACUCCCACUCAGUGUUCUAAAGAACAUCAGUCAUCAGAACAUCAGGCUGAAUGGGCUCCGAGCACCUGACGGAAUGGUUGGUGUCCCUGUUCAUUGCAGGGGAGUUGGACCAGGUGGCAUUUAGAGGUCCCUUCCAACUCCAACAGUACCCGGAGGGUAAGGAGAUCCAAAAGCUUUGACCCCCCAAAGCUCAAGACUAAAACUGCAGAGGGUGGGUGAAGGCAUAAAGGGAGACGGUAAAACACAGCUUUGUGGUUCUGAGAAGGCUUUUUCAGGCUGACAAAAUAAGGAAAGGGAAAAAACACACCAAAUUAAUUAAAAUUCUUCAAAGUGGAUAUGAAGUGUAUGCUGAUUGUGAACCCCUACCUCCAUGGGCUGGUGGCACAGUCUGGGUGGUGUCUUUACCCCAAGGUACUCCUACAUCUCUUUUACCUUUAUUUCUAAAGAAAGUGGAUCUAGAAAAUCUCUGGUUGGAGAUACUCAGAAG
ensembl:lncRNA